rnacentral:rRNA from 1 species
AUACGGAGGAUCCGAGCGUUAUCCGGAUUUAUUGGGUUUAAAGGGAGCGUAGGUGGAUUGUUAAGUCAGUUGUGAAAGUUUGCGGCUCAACCGUAAAAUUGCAGUUGAAACUGGCAGUCUUGAGUACAGUAGAGGUGGGCGGAAUUCGUGGUGUAGCGGUGAAAUGCUUAGAUAUCACGAAGAACUCCGAUUGCGAAGGCAGCUCACUAGACUGCAACUGACACUGAUGCUCGAAAGUGUGGGUAUCAAACAGGAUUAGAUACCCUGGUAGUCCACACAGUAAACGAUGAAUACUCGCUGUUUGCGAUAUACAGUAAGCGGCCAAGCGAAAGCAUUAAGUAUUCCACCUGGGGAGUACGCCGGCAACGGUGAAACUCAAAGGAAUUGACGGGGGCCCGCACGAGCGGAGGAACAUGUGGUUUAAUUCGAUGAUACGCGAGGAACUUUACCCGGGCUUAAAUUGCAUUUGAAUAAUCUGGAAACAGGUUAGCCGCAAGGCAAAUGUGAAGGUGCUGCAUGGUUGUCGUCAGCUCGUGCCGUGAGGUGUCGGCUUAAGUGCCAUAACGAGCGCAACCCUUAUCUUUAGUUACUAACAGGUCAUGCUGAGGACUCUAGAGAGACUGCCGUCGUAAGAUGUGAGGAAGGUGGGGAUGACGUCAAAUCAGCACGGCCCUUACGUCCGGGGCUACACACGUGUUACAAUGGGGGGUACAGAAGGCAGCUACCUGGCGACAGGAUGCUAAUCCCAAAAACCUCUCUCAGUUCGGAUCGAAGUCUGCAACCCGACUUCGUGAAGCUGGAUUCGCUAGUAAUCGCGCAUCAGCCAUGGCGCGGUGAAUACGUUCCCGGGCCUUGUACACACCGCCCGUCAAGCCAUGAAAGCCGGGGGUACCUGAAGUACGUAACCGCAAGGAGCGUCCUAGGGUAAAACUGGUAAUUGGGGCU